rnacentral:pre_miRNA from 1 species
UCUUUCAUCAUUUUUGUGAGUGGUGCAAUUUCGCCAUAAAAUAACCUACUAAUUGCAUAGUCACAAAAGUGAUGGUAGC